GGGUGUGGUUUUCCCUUGUACUCAAGGGUGAUCCCAGGAGUUGGGUCUCAGUGAGGGGAGGCCCUUUAAGGAAGACUUUGAUCCAAUUUAAGGGGAUGAGGUUCCAGCUGUAAUCAGAAAUCAUGACAAAGACAGCAGCAGUCAUACUUUGUAGUAGCAGGACUUGAGGAAAAAAGGCUUCAUCAUUGGCACGGGAAGUGCCCAGACCACCAUCUCCUGCCCUCACUUCCUGACACCUGAGGCCUCAGCGUUGAGGAGAGGAGAAAAACCACAGGGAUGAAGUAGGCCCAGCUGACGGAGGCCGUGGAUGGCAGGGUUUGAAUAUGAUGCGACAGACACUAAGGAUCGCUUUUUCCUAAGUAAGGAUGGGAGGAAGACAGUCACAGAGCUGUCCAGGAGGACCUGAAGGACGAAGAGACCCAGAAUGAUGCCCAAAGGUUGGACUUCUGCAUCAUCAACAUGUAAGCUCUGAGUGAGCUUCUGGAAUUACCACCUUCCUAAAUUAGGAAGAUGUCUAUCUGCAUUCUUCAUCCCCAAGUCCCCAGGAUAGCGGAGCUCGCUGAAAUCUACCCCCAGCUCCCCCAGGAGCCAGGCUUGGGAAUCCCAGUCUGAAGCCCCUACACUACCACCCCUGCUUGACCUUCACCCCAGAGGCCACAGGCUUCACCAUUCCAAGCCCCACAACCUGCAGGCUUGGGGGUACCUCACUGCCCCUGACUCCUGCGAAAGCAUGACUUUCAGGAAUGCUGGGCAACGUCUGGAAAGUCAAUUAGGAAGAACUGGGGAAAAGCCAAGGACUCAGCCUCCGUGACCACCACAGUGAACAGGAACAGGGAGGGUGCACCCAGUUCUGCCCUGGAAAACAGGGUGCCUGUCACCUCUGGACACUCCCUGGGCUGCUUCUUUUGUGUGCGCCCUUCCCACCCCGACUCCCCUCACCAGCAUUUCAGCUCCUGCCUCCUCUCUCAACUGUGCUGUGAGAUGAACAGAGCACCCCAUGGCUAACAAAGCCACGCCAGGCUAUACAGGACGCAGCGAAGCCCACGAGCAGGGCAAGGUGGACAUUCGGCCUGCACACCUGUGCACACAGCAACGCCGCUGCGCCUCUGUGAAGCAUGGGCAAGGGCACUAAUUACAGGCCGUGCAGAGGCAGUGAGCACCUCCUCUCGCCAGAAGGAGGCAGCUUACUGGGCUUUGUCCCCACAGGGCCCAGGGGUUUCAGGAGGACUGGUGGUCCUAUGGCCCCAUAGGCUGUGCAGCGUGGACAGCCCUGCCUUCCCCGCUACCCGUGGUGCUGCACCUUGGCGGAGGGGGCAGGGGCUGGGUGCUCACCUUGUGGUCUAGCUCUGCCCUGGCCUUUGGCUGUUGCUCCCGGCAGGGUGGCAAGGUCUCAGCGCCCAAGUACUGCCCGAGGGAUGAUGGCCUCAUGAGGCUCAGGAGCUGGCUGAGUGAGGAUAGCUGCGGAGGAGAAGGGAGGCCAUCACUCACAGAGGGUGGCAACCGAGUGCGUGGGGCACUUUGGGGACUCUUGGCCUGGACGCCUUGGCUGGCAGGAGCCGGUCAGAGCAUGGGCUCUGGAACCAGACCUCCGGCCUCCUAGACCCGGUCCACCUCUCACUUGGGAGCUGUGUGGUCCCUUGGAGCCUGAGUGUCCUGUCUGUAAAAUGGAGACAGCCACAACUCCUCUCCCCAGGAGAGGAGGGUCACACGCACACGGCACCUGUUACAGGGUGAGCCCCCUCAGAGAGGGAACCAGGAAGAUCUCCAGAGGCUGGAGGUCUAAUCCACUUCCCUGGAGGAAGCAGACACUCGAGGUUUAGAAGAACCAAGACCAGCAGAGAGGUCUCCUCUGCCACCAGGCAAGACCCUUCCCACCCUGAGCUGCUGCUCAUGUCUGCUGGCCCACUCUCCCCUGCGUCCCUCUCUUGUCAUUUAACUUGUUAUCGUGGGGGUUUUCAAUACUCAUGACAGAAGAGAGGCUGUGUAUGAACCCCAUCACUGUGAGUGAUGACCGCAGUCACCAUCACUCUGCCUGCUCUGGUUCACCACCCCCCAACCGCCUGCCCUUUCCCUUCCAGAGAAUUUUAAAGCAAAUCCAAACAUCAUAUCAUUUUACCCAUACAGAGCUUUUAACAGAAAAGGAUAAGGAUUUUUUCAAAACCCCAACAUAAUCACAAUAUCACUCUCUUGGCCAACAAAAUUACCCACAAUUCCUUAUACAACCUAACACCUGUGUUCAGUUUUC